rnacentral:rRNA from 1 species
CCUACGGGGGGCAGCAGUGAGGAAUAUUGGUCAAUGGACGAGAGUCUGAACCAGCCAAGUAGCGUGAAGGAUGACUGCCCUAUGGGUUGUAAACUUCUUUUAUAAAGGAAUAAAACGAGGCACGUGUGCCUUUUGCAUGUACUUUAUGAAUAAGGAUCGGCUAACUCCGUGCCAGCAGCCGCGGUAAUACGGAGGAUCCGAGCGUUAUCCGGAUUUAUGGGGUUUAAAGGGAGCGUAGAUGGGUUGUUAAGUCAGUUGUGAAAGUUUGCGGCUCAACCGUAAAAUUGCAAUUGAUACUGGCAGUCUUGAGUACAGUUGAGGUAGGCGGAAUUCGUGGUGUAGCGGUGAAAUGCUUAGAUAUCACGAAGAACCCCGAUUGCGAAGGCAGCUUACUAAACUGUGACUGACAUUGAUGCUCGAAAGUGUGGGUAUCAAACAGGAUUAGAUACCCCAGUAGUC